rnacentral:lncRNA from 1 species
GUCAGUAUCUUUUUUCAUGUAGUCGGUCAUGUAAUUACCUUGUAAUUUGUUUGUCUUGGUUUGUUUGUCGUGUGCAGUGCUCAGAGGUCAGCAGUGAGAGUUAGAUCUCUGACAGAAGAACUGGAGGAGACACGUCAAGCAUUUAAAGAGGCCCGGGAGAAAGCCAGUCGGACCCAGAAUAGCUGCUCCAAACUGGUAUGUCAAACUCUCAGCAGUCCCACAGUGAAACUUUCUGCUGCGUUUGGCUUAUUUUAUAUGGCAACUAUUUACAUUUAAGUCUUUUUUUUUUUUUUGGUCUUCAGAGCAAUGAGGUUGAAUGUCUUCAGAGUGAUAUUCAAAGGCUUGAAGACAAGAAUGAAAAACUAAUCUUUGAGAAAACAUGCUCUGAAGAAAGCCUCAACAAACUGAGGAAGGUCAACGCUGAAUUGAGGGCUGGACUUGAGGAAACUCUGAUUAUGUUGACACUGAGAGACAGAGAAAUAUCAAAGGUAAGUACAUUUUUUUUCCUAACGAUGAAAGUUGAAAUUGUCACAUUUUAAAAUUUUUAUUUUAACUGUCUAGAAAGACAUUCUUAUGGAAAAGAUGAAGAAUACUCAUGUGGAGAAUCACAGAAUGAUAGAGGUAUGUUUGAUAGAGCUUAGAGUUGAAGGGAGAAUAUUCGAUACUGUAAAUGCCAUGACAUCAUAUUGAAUGCUAAUCAGAUGUUACUAAAAUCUUUUUCCUCUAUUCCGGUGUUGUAGGGUCUGCAAUCCGAGCUGAUGAGAUUACACGAACAUUCAAACCAAGUUCUUCUGAGGUAUUUUUAAUUAAUUGCUUAUAAAUGUAACAUGGUGCUGACUGUUGAUUUUU